GCCCCGGGUGACGUCCGCGCUCUUCUCACAGCUCGUCUCCCGCGGCCUCCCAAUUUUUGCCUAAUUUGGAAGAGAGCCGCAGCCCUUCUGCUGAUGCGCGCGCGCUGGCGCCUUUUUAAGGCAACCAGCUGAGUGGCGGCUCCACCAGAGCCCGGGAGCUGCCCCCGCCCCCGAGCCGUGAGCCCUGCUCCGGCCCGGCCCGGGGAGUCCCCGGCGCCACACGCCCCCUCCUCCACCCCCAUCUUAGCGCCCCCACCCACUAUGGGGACAUUUCAACCAGGGAGAAGGGAGGUCCUGCCCUUGCCCCUGGCCCCCGCCCCCCUCCUCCAACAGGGGAGACUUCUGUCCAAACCUUGGAAGGAAGCGAGAUGCCAGGCCUAGCGCCUUCGGAGAUCCUCUCUGGACAAGGCCACAGGGUGAAAACACCAGUCUGAACCUGGGUAGGCUUUUUGGAAAAGCUUCUGGAUGUCACGGACUCCACGACCGACCAACUAGGCUGCUGCUGCUUGCAAAGGUCACCUCCAUUGAAGGAUUCCUGCAGCCACCAGCUCUGGAACUUUCUGGACCCAAACCUUUCCCCAGACUGCCUACAAGGACCAGUUGGCUUCUGGAUGGAGCAUUUCCUGGAGGCGUUUGACCAGGACCCGCAGGACAGCUGGAAAGUGCCUGACCCUUCUCAAGGAGCUGCAUGGCUUCCAGACAUCCCUAGGCCCCUCUCUGGAGCAGGAUGGGGGACCCAGAGGUGGAGCUGAACACACAAGGCAACACUUGAGGGCUCCGAGGGUGACUGAAGCUAAGGAGUGCUGGAGACAGCAGUUGCUUUAGCCACAGGCUGUGUAGACCACCUGAGGAUGAUCCGGGCGUCUGUUCUGUGCACCUUGGAACCCAUCGGAUCCCUCCAGCGACACAUUUGUCCAGAGCAAGACAAGAUAACACUUUGACAGCUCUCUGUCAAGAUUCUUGCUCCAAAUCUCCAGACUAGUAUCCAGGAGUCUCCAUGCCGGUUCUGAAGAAGCAGAUUCCUCAUCCACCCUUCAACUCCUUCCCAGGAGGUCAUCCUCCUCCAAAUCUCUAGAAAAGAUACACCUCCUCUUCUCUGAUAAAGGCUGGGGGGUGAUGCCCCCCCCCAGGUUCCCAAUAAAGCUAUGCAAGACAGGGGCAAGAGCUCUCACAGCCUGUUUUUGUUACAAAAACCCUUUUUCGGAAAAAAUAAUAAAGAAAGGAAUCAGCCAAUCCCUCCUCGAUGCCA